GCGGGCGUCAGGAUGCCGCUAUCAAUAUGCGGGAGACUCCCGGAACUUCCGGGAGACUUGGGAUGUCUGAGAUUGAUAGGCAUAGAUAGAAGCUAAUUUAUGAUUUGUUAUGCAAGACAGAAAAUGUAACGGUUAACAUUACUAGCCUAAGGUGUAGACAUUCUAUGCACUGUGGUUUAGCUAGCUAGCUGCUAUUGUUGCAUCAUGGACAACACUUAGAGCUAACAUUAGCUUUUUUUUUUUUUAGAUAGGAUGUAAUGUGGUAACGUUGGGCUCCUAUGUGCUGGGGAGUAUUAGAGUGGACGUGUAGAAAUUGAAGACACAAGUACUGUGCUUAAUUUCAUGGAAAUGGUAUUGGAAGUAAUGUGUUUUGUUUUUGUGCACUAUCAAACUACUUUGUCAUGCUUUGUGCACUGACAUUCUUGCAAAACCAUUCACACCCAUGCUAAAUUAUGGAAAUGUAAAAGUUGAAUUGUAUUGAAAAGGACCAUGUAUGGUCAUGUAGUGCAUUUGAGCACUGACACCCCUUUUUUUUACAUUUUAGAGAGGCAACACUCGAAAGCUACAUCAAGGACACCGGAGGAUGGACCAGAAGACCUGAGACCAAGACGACCCAAGCCCAACCCAUAGUAUGCUUCACUGACAAAUGUUGAUGCUUCAUCAUCACAUAGACCAAAGGUUUCAGAGAAGGCUGGUAGAGCUCUCUAUGAGUGUGAGCUGUGGGAGAUAACCAAGAACUGACAACCACCUACAGAAGAGGUGGCAAAAAUGGCUCUCCAAGAGGAGGUUGAGGCACUUCGAGGGAAUGCCUGGACCCUGAGAGGACUAAGACGAUAAUUGAGGCCACCCUGAAGCAGUUCCCAGGCCAGACACUCACUCCAGAUUGCUGGGCCAGGCAAUAAAUGCCAAAGUGACAGAACUGAGGUUCCAUAACAAAAACAAAGAUUUUCAAUAAAAUAGAAUAAAAGAUAACAGAAGUGUUGUGUGUUUCUUCCUCUUUAUACUGAUACUAUGGUUAAUUUUAAGUAAACACAAUAGUGAAAUAUUUAAUGAUCAAUGCGGAAAAUAUCAAACCAUAGUAGAAUAUGAACUAUAUUAGAGAAAUAUAUGUCUGAAAUAUAUAGAUCAUGUGAUCAGAAUCUUCAUCAAGGGUCAUGUGAUCAUGCUUCUUACUGCCAUAUAUUUAAAUAUAUUUAAUUAUAUGCAUAAA